CCAAAACAGCGGACUUCGGUCCUUGCUGCACCCUUGUCUUUUGCGCACCGUAUUGUUUCCUCGGCGGGCUUGCCUGCCGGUUGGACAUUAUCAAAACCUUUUUGUAGUUGCAAUCAGCGUCAGAAAAACAAUAAUUAUUA
rnacentral:misc_RNA from 1 species